rnacentral:rRNA from 1 species
UACGAAGGGGGCUAGCGUUGCUCGGAAUCACUGGGCGUACAGGGAGCGUAGGCGGUUGGGUAAGCCCUCCGUGAAAUCUCCGGGCCUAACCCGGAAAGUGCGGAGGGGACUGCUCGGCUAGAGGAUGGGAGAGGAGCGCGGAAUUCCCGGUGUAGCGGUGAAAUGCGUAGAGAUCGGGAGGAAGGCCGGUGGCGAAGGCGGCGCUCUGGAACAUUUCUGACGCUGAGGCUCGAAAGCGUGGGGAGCAAACAGG